UAAUGUUUGUGAAUGGAUAUGACGAAAUGGCAAUAAUGUUUUGUGACACCCAGUCUGAUCUUCGUGAUUGAUCUGCCAUAUUUUCUGAUCCUAAUUCUUCUUCAGUUUUGUGGAUUUUGAUUCAAAGUUUUGAUUU
rnacentral:sRNA from 1 species